UACGUAGGGUGCAAGCGUUAAUCGGAAUUACUGGGCGUAAAGCGUGCGCAGGCGGUGAUGUAAGACAGUUGUGAAAUCCCCGGGCUCAACCUGGGAACUGCAUCUGUGACUGCAUCGCUGGAGUACGGCAGAGGGGGAUGGAAUUCCGCGUGUAGCAGUGAAAUGCGUAGAUAUGCGGAGGAACACCGAUGGCGAAGGCAAUCCCCUGGGCCUGUACUGACGCUCAUGCACGAAGGCGUGGGGAGCAAACAGG
rnacentral:rRNA from 1 species